GUUGGCGGCGCGGCGGGAGAAGUCCCUCUAGCAGGCCUGGCUCUCCCCCGCCCCCAGGGUUGGUUUUUCCCAGCUGCGGAGGUUGGGCCAGGGGCAGGGGUGCGAGGAGAGUCGGCGCCCGCUGCGCGGAGCCGGGAAGUCGCCGCGACUCCGGUGAGACUCAGAGUUGUCUCCGGAGGUGACGGGCGCGGAGGUGAGCGGUGGGGAGCAAGCGGCGACGGCGAAAACGCGGAGGCUGCGCCGUGGCCCCUUACCAUCUUUUGAAGGGAUAGUAGCGUAGGUCCAGGGUCCCACCGCCGCUUUGUUCGCAGCCUCUCCCUAAGGUACUCUUUGGAGAUGACUUGAACCCCCUCUAUGAUCCGAGGGUCUGGCUGGGGCGGGGGGGUGGGGGGGGGAGCGACAGCUGUUAGGUCCUCCAUUUCCUGCUAAUCCGGGAAGGUACCAAAAGAGAUGAAAAGACUCCUGUAACCUGAAACUUCCCUCCGUUCCAAACCUGGACCGGGAGCUGAGGUUCGGGCGGGGGCGGAGACCCCGGAAGGCGGGUCGGCAGCCGAGGCGGUGGGGGACGGAGCUAGGAGAGAGUGAGAAGUUUGGUCAGGAAGACGCUGGGGAUUAAGAAGUUAGACUUGGGGGACGAAUCUGAUCGGGAAAGAGGAGGGCGGGGGGCUGGAAGAGUGUAUAUAUAGUGUGGGCCUGGGCAGAAGGAAGACUUUACGCUCGGUGUCUCGGGACGCGCGCCCCUCUCCCGGGGAAAGAUGUCCUGAAGCGGAUCGAGCGCGAGGCGCCAACAAAAGAGGCAAGAGGGUGCCACCCGGGGGCGGCGGCAGGAAGAGGAGCGGGAGGAAGAGCGCGGAGCUGAACGUCCCGAGCCUCCGUGCGUACUUUUUGGAGGGAAGGGGCGGGGGAAUCGGCCCCGGGAGGGGGACGCCGGGUGACGAGGGGUUUAGCCAAGUUCCGGCUGCGGCGUCCCUCCUCUGCUCCCACGAGAGGAAAGUUUUCUCCAGACGCUUCCGGCCGGCCGGCGCCCUCCGGACCAGCUCCCGAGCCUUCGGAGCGGGCGCCGUCCCAGCCCAGCU
rnacentral:lncRNA from 1 species